rnacentral:rRNA from 1 species
GAUUAAGUAAAAGUCGUAACAAGGUUUCCGUAGGUGA